rnacentral:rRNA from 1 species
CAUCGCCUCUUGACAUUCUACACUAUAAGAGGUCUAGCCUGCCCAGUGAUAUUUUUAACGGCCGCGGUACUCUGACCGUGCGAAGGUAGCAUAAUCACUUGUUCUUUAAAUGAGGACUAGUAUCAACGGCAUCACGAGGAUUUUACUGUCUCCUUUUUCCUAUCGGUGAAACUGAUCUCCCCGUGAAGAAGCGGGGAUAUUUCUAUAAGACGAGAAGACCCCAUGGAGCUUUAAACCCAGAGACACCUCAAACCCUCCCUCCCAUAAAAGUUUUUAUGUGCUGUCCUCUGGUUUUAGGUUGGGGUGACCGCGGAGUAUAACUUAACCUCCACAACGCACGGAACUUCUUCCUUAUCUGAGAGUGACAUCUCAAAGAAUUAAUACAUUAACGUAAAAUGAUCCAAUAACUUUUAUUUUGAUUAACGAACCAAGUUACCCUGGGGAUAACAGCGCAAUCCAUUUCCAGAGCCCCUAUCGACAAAUGGGUUUACGACCUCGAUGUUGGAUCAGGGUAUCCCAGUGGUGCAGCCGCUACUAAUGGUUUGUUUGUUCAACAAUUAAAACCCUACGUGAUC